rnacentral:rRNA from 1 species
GUCUACGUCCAUACCAACCUGAACGCGAUCUCCUCUGAUCUAGUGAAGCUAAGCAGGGUCGGCUGGGUGAGUGCUUGGAUGGGAUUCCGCCCAGGAAUACCAGGUGCUGAAGNNN